GACACAUAGAAGUUGGUCAGUAAAUGUUAGCUAUCAUCGUCAUCAUUAUCAUCAUUAUCAACAUCAUCAUCCAAGGGUUGAAUGAUGUUUUUGUGUUUUUGUCCAGGUGUCAGAAGGAGGCUGGCAAAUUUGGCACUCACAGAGGGAAACCUAUGUGCUUCGUGAGGUCAUUGCUUAGAGUACAACUGCUACCAAGAACAUUCCCUGCAAACUCUUUUGUGAUCAGUUUCUUCCCUUCUCUCAUAUACCCUCUGCAGGUCCACCAAUUGCAUUUUGAGAGCUCAGAUAAGCAGAGAGCAAUGCAAUUUGUCACGGAAGGAUGAUUAUGUAUAUGCACUGUCAUGUCUAUUUCCACGCCUAACUCAAAAGAGACACAGGGAGAAAGUGAGCUCAGCCUGGAUAAAUUGGAAGUUGUGAUGACUUCUAGGAAGCCUCAGGAAAAAGAAACAAAGACAACACUGGCCUGCUGCUCUCUGCAAUGGUGGGACUCUUGUGGGACAACUGUUUUAGGAAUGAAGGUGUCUACCCUCUCUAGAAAUGAAAAUGCAAGUUUGGCUGUGGUUAAGUAUUGGAUGGAGGCAAAAAGAAACUGACAUAUUUGCUUCUUUUCAAUUGUUUGAUUCACCCUGAAGGGCAUGGCUGCCUAAUUUUUUUUUCCAGAGAUAGGUGGACAGAUAAAGACAGGAAAGUAACAUCCACAGACUGCCCUCUGUGAAGGUGACAGUGAUGAGAGGAAUGCUUGAUCUGAACAUUGGUAAAUAAAGUGACCGCGUAUUUCCCUAGCCAGGAGAGCAAUCUGGCUCAAAAGAAACGAGAACAAUGACAUUACUGCCAGGCUGCUCCUAAGCCUUUGGCUAUUCUGUUCAGUGCACAUAAAAAGCAGUGAACAUAGCUGUGACCUCCCUUGUUGGCAGUAUCACAAUUCUUUGGGGCUCCACUUUGAGAAAUUGAGACCUACCUACCUUAACCCUUGGGGGGUUAAGCUUUCAGACUGGAAUGAUAACUGAACUAUUCAUUUGCAGUAAUUCUGGGUUUUGUGCAUAUCUUAAAAAGGAAUACCGGGCUUGCCUAUAUUCAUUACAACAUCCUCCCAGCUUUCAAA
rnacentral:lncRNA from 1 species